UGGUCUAUCUGACCGUACGAUUCGCCUUAGAGUUGAUCCUGGCUCAGAAUCAACGCUGGCGGCGUGCUAACACAUGCAAGUCGAACGAGAAAGGGGAGCAAUCCCUGAGUAAAGUGGCGACCGGGUGAGUAACACGUGACCAAUCUACCCUGGAGUGGGGGAUAACCUCGGGAAACCGGGGCUAAUACCGCAUAACAUCCCUGGAUCGGAAGAACUGGGGAUCAAAGGAGCAAUUCGCUUCAGGAGGAGGUCGCGGCUGAUUAGCUAGUUGGCGGGGUAAUGGCCCACCAAGGCGAAGAUCGGUAGCCGGCCUGAGAGGGCGCACGGCCACACUGGAACUGAAACACGGUCCAGACUCCUACGGGAGGCAGCAGUGGGGAAUUUUGCGCAAUGGGGGAAACCCUUUUUUUUUUCAACGCCUCGUGGAGGAUGAAAUCCCUUGGGACGUAAACUCCUUUCGACCCGGACGAUAAUGACGGUACGGGGGGAAGAAGCCCCGGCUAACUUCUUGCCAGCAGCCGCGGUAAUACGAGGGGGGCAAGCGUUGUUUGGAAUUAUUGGGCGUAAAGGGCGCGUAGGCGGUGCGGCAAGUCACCUGUGAAAUUUCUGGGCUCCACUCAAAACUUCCAGGCGAAACUGCCCUUCUCCAAGGUGGGAGAAGGCCUGGAAUUCUCCGUGGUCCCCCCAAAAAGCCUAAUUUUGGGGGGAGAACACCUGUUGGGGAAAGCGGCGCCCCUGGACCCCCCUCUGAACGCUGGGGCCGGGCAACCUUAUGGGGGGGAACCAGGAUUUGAUACCCCCGGGGGGCCCUCCCCCCUAACCAUAGGAUGUUGGGGGGUGGGGCGGCGGACCCUAUCCGCGUCGUGCCCCCCCCUACCACACGAUAGAGACUCCCCCCCCGGGGAGGACAGGUGCGAAGGGUGUAUCUCUAUGGAUUGUAUAGUGGGGGCCGCCCCCACCGCCCCCGAGACAGUGUGUUUAUUUUUUCUGCUAACUCCCACAACAAACCACUACUCCUCGC
rnacentral:rRNA from 1 species